UGGCUCCCUACAGGGCUCAGCCUUCUGAUAACACUUUUUUUUUUCAUUUGUUAUGUAGUCUUUAGGAAUGUUCAUCCUAUAUCCUCGACCUCGUUAGAAUAUCCUCAAGGGUGAUGGGGGUGGCUGCUUCUCCUGGUCCUUCACCGUGUCCAGCACAUGGCCAGGUGGGUGGUGAAUAGUCAUGUCCAAAAUGAAUAAACUAAGAGCAGGAGGAGAAAGCUACUGAGGGGGCAACUGUCAGCUCAGUGGAGGAUAACUUUCUCCAUGGACACCUUUUCUUAUACAACAGAAAGAGUAUCUUUGUGAGGUCAGCAUUUAGGUAUCAUUGGAGGUGUUCACACAAGGGGCAGCUCAGGGACACUUUGGACGGGAUUCUUGCUUUGGGGGAGUUGAUGGAAGGAGCCACCGUAGCAGUCUAUGAUCUCAUAACUGAACACAUCUAGACAGAAACUUCAACAAUGGAUGGAUAGGCAACAUGUUCCAGAUGACGCAUUGAGGUGUUCAGUCCUUUCCUGUCCUUCAAGGCCUAGUUCAAACACUAACUCCUCCAUGAAGACUGUCUUGAUUUCCAUCAAAGGAGGUGAAUGCAGCGGUGCCUCCUUUGACUUUUGACACCUGAGAACCAAGGGAGCCUGGUUCCAGCCAUGGCAGGAUAUCAAAGGAGGAAUGUGACUUAACUGGAAAAAGAACGGACAUCACCCAAAGAUGGGUAAAAGGACUUCGUACCUUUUCUGGAAGAGAGGCUUAGGGUGCUUGCAGUUGAAUAUAAACAAUAGCUGCUUCUACUUUAGAUGGAAAUAAUCGUCUGCCAUUAUCUUUAUGGAGAGGUUAAAAAUGGCUAAAAGACAAAUAAAUGGAUGCCAACUUGACAAAGAAGGGAGAUUGAGGGCUUUGGACUCUGUUGACCCAGCCAAGCUAGAACAAGCUUCCCAGAAUGCCAGGAAUUCCCUGCAUAGCUUCAGGAUACAUUGACCACAAGAGGCAUUUUGCACAGAUUUGGAAGGCAGGAGGGAAAAAAUAAAAAUAGCGGCUUUUUUUCCCACACCGAUGGCUGGUGUAGAGCCCAGGUGCUAUUACGGCUCACGCACACUUUGUCGCUGUCCUGCUGCCUCACUUUGGUGACGCGGCAGCAGCAACUCUAACUCCUCCUGGAUCACCAUCCUUUGUUACUCCAAAUUCCAGGCCAGUGUGUGCAACUCCACGGCAAAGCUGCCAGCCUUCUCCUUCUGGUCACUCACGUCACUGCUCUCCCCAACUUCACGUCUGCCUUUCUUCCGAACUGCCUGUUCCGCUGACUUUAGGCCCAGCACCAGAUGUAGAAGCAGCAGUCUCGUGUAGACUGUUUAAUUAGUUCUCGACGAUUGUGCAAGGUCAAGCCUCUGGAAUAAAUUCCUUGUCUAUAUAAUUUGCAGUGUUUCUGCUUCUCUGCUCAAACCCUAACUGAGGGGUUUCUGUGACCCCUUUUUCAAGAUGCUCUAGCCACACCGGUCUUCUUUCUACCCCUUAAGCAUGCCAAGCUUAUUGCAACCGAGCACAUUUUACACUUAUGCUCUCCCCGCCCGAAACAUCUUUCCUAGACAUCCUCAUGCCUGGCUCCUUCUCUUCAAGCAUCCUCAGCUCAAAUGCCAGCUCUGCCAGGAGUCUUUCCCUGACCGCAGCAUCUAAAAUAGACCUCUCGUCAGUCUUAAUCACUUCACAGCAUGUAUUGUUUCCAUGGUACCAAUCACUCCCCAAAAUCACAUUUUUAUUUUGUGGAUACCAGUUAUCUAUCCUUGGAAGCUUUUAGAGGGCAGGGAUUUUGUCCAUCAUGUUAACCAUCGUAUCCCCAUGCCCGGUGCAGAGCCUGGCACAGAGAACGCGGCAGCAUGUACUUGGAGGAUGAAUAAAUGGCCGUGUUCAAGCUACUUGCAUCUUGGACCCUCAGAGCCCUAAGCUGUCUGUGGCAUAACCAGGCCCUUCGCACAGAGCUCAGCCGCUCGUGCAGAUGGAAAGGGCCUCGAGGUGCGUGCCAGGGGCUGGCUCUCAGCUCUCCUGUCACUUUCCCUGCACCCACUGCUGGAAGCCUCUGAGGGGACUAAGAGGCCAAGCUGGAAUCUCUAGGGUGGAAUCAGAUCUCUAAGACUCCCGGACGCCAAAAGGACAUUUUUACUGUCUUCACAAGACACCAGAGUCUCCUUUGCUAAUAGCUCUGGUGUGCUAUGUGCCUUCAUCUUGAAAAACACUUUUCACAGCUUCCAUGCCUGAUAAUUUUUAUUUCUCAGCCUUUUGCCUCCCUGUCCACCCACGGAGCCAGCGACAAUCCCCCGGCCUCUGCCUGGUGCCCAGUGAGUCACACUGACUUUGGCGUCCGGUUGAUUUCUUUGCAUCUGCCUUACAGACAUGGAUGAAAUGAAACGCCGUUUUCAUCCCACCAGGAGGGAAGGCUGCUGCUGAGGGGGAGGUGUAGGAGAAUUUUCUGGAGGGAAACGCAGUAGUCCUGCAUAUCAAUAAACUCCAAAGAGGAACAUGAGGCCAGCUUAUAUAUCCUAAGUUGGAUCUAAAAAAUGAAAAACUAAAAGAUCCUCAGCAGAGGCAUGACUGAAAGACAAUAAGCCAGUGGAUGGUAACACAGUUCAUUUUCAGCUCCUAAUUUAGGGAGUGAUGAGCUCCUCUCCAUCUCCCAAGCUGCAUUGGGCAUCUAUUAACCCGCAAAGUGGACUGAAGUGGCUCCAUCAGAAACGACCUUCCUCUCUCGGCUCGCAUGGCCUGGGAUUGGAGGCAAGAGGUGAUUUUGGCCACAGGUUUUCCGGAAGACAGGAGAAGAUGUCCUACCAAGACAGACGUUAAAACAAAUACAAGGUUUCCUUGGCCAUUUUCUGCUUUGGGGAGGGAUGUCUUUGCCUCCCUAUGACGGAUGAUCUUGCCCUCUCCAAUCCUUCCUUCCUUUAUCCUCUCACUAAAUAUUUACUGCUAAACUAUGUGGUAAGCAUCAGGGCUCAGCAACUUUUUGCCCUGGAGACAUUCACACUUUCAGUUUAUAAAAAAAAGAGAGACAAGUCAAUUUCAAUACAGUGCACUAGGUCCUGGCGUGGAGAAAACAACAGAGUUCUGCGGGGUCCUGUGAUGCGAUACCCAUCCAGGGAUUUAGGGGGGAAAGAAUAGGAACAUCAGGGAGGAUUUUUGCCUGGGAGGUCUGUUCAGCCAGGACCUAAAAGAAGAGCAGAGGUUUGUCAAGAACACAGAAAUAAUCCUCAGCGUCCACCGGGGAAAAGCAUUCUCACUGUCAAGGCCAGCUGGACAGGUAAGAUGCAAACCUGGCCCAUUCUAAAACUGUCAGCAGCUUCCCGUUGUUCUUC